UAAGCUUUUGUAUACAGUAAUUUCUGAAUUUAAGAUUACUACUAUAUGGAUGUUGCUUUUCUUUGUAACCCAGGGAAUGGUACUUAAGUAGAUAGUUCAUGUGUAAGCUGUAACAAAACUUUUAAUCAUACAAGUGAUGAAACAGUUAAGAGACGCCUGUUUCAUUUAAUGAAUGUACAACACCUUAAAGGCUGGAUAGGAUAGGUAUUUUGAAAUAUCAAUUGAAGAAAUACAUGUAUCUUAAUGAGACUGAGACAGCAACCCAAUCCGACAACAAAAUUAUUCAAGAGACAUCUUAGGUAGUGAAGGUCUAAAUGAAAGACGUCACUUGUCUAUAAAAAAAUAUGCCAACCAUUAAGUCACUCCAAAUCUGUAAUAGUCGUGUAUCCCAAACUCUAUCUCACCAACAAAAUGUCAGAUAAAAAAUCAUUCAGACAGACAGAAAUUUUAAAAUAUUUUGGUUGAAUACAUAGUAGAAAAGUCCAAA
rnacentral:lncRNA from 1 species